AAAGAGUGUCGGGGACGGGAGCGGAGAGACACGGAAAAGGUCAAACUAAAGGCGAGGAGGAGAGGCGGCUGGAGUGGCGGGGGGCCCGGAGCGGGGCUCGAGCCGGCCGCCCCACGGCACUCGGGGCGUCCCCCGGCCAGACGGGCCGGGCCCGGCCCAGCCCCGCUCGCGGGAGGAGCCGGAGCCCCCAUCCCGUCACAGGGCAUCCCGUGUGCUGAAUCACAUUCCUUCCAGCUCCCUCUGGUUGUCAGUGGACAAGCCCAGCUUGACAUUAUUCCAUAUCUUACAUCGACUUCCAUCAGCAACACAACAAAGUACUCCUGCCCAUACUGUCAGCCUGCUAACGUUAGUGGACCAUCCAGAUAUCUAGAAUCAUGCAGGAAAAGGGUCCAACCAAAUUAAACAAUGUGCUUCUUCAGUCCUCCUCGUCCAUCAGGAAUGAAACAUCCCCUUCCUUCUCCCACCCCCAUACAGGAACUACAAGUGAAUACCCAGAACUUGUGAUGCCAGAAGCGAUGCACAGUCUUUCCAUCCCUCUUGUUCCUGUGGAACCAUUCUCCCCACCCUUCCAUCCACAAUUUGGCAGGAUGGAGCUCAACAGAGAUGCCUACUUAAAAUCAAAGGACAGCAGAUAUUCAUUAGCUGGCUAAUGUCCAGUAUUUAAGCUUGAGGGAGAAAUUAAAUAUUUCUUAUAAUGGAGGUAUCCACUGGCCAUCCCUGUAUAUUCAACUUUUCUUGAUAAACCUAAGUAGAUAUUACACUGUUUAAUUCUUAUAAUCUUACUUUCUGUAAUAUGGUUAAUAUUUCUGCUAUGUUUAUAUAGUUUCAGCUUUAGGGAAACCCUUUUCUAGAGUCAGAGUACAAUGCUUCAAUAUUCCAGCUGGAAGAACCUGAAUUUAAAAACAAAAUCUAAAUAUACACUGCUGUGAACUGGGCAGGCCUAAACCAGCACUGAUAUCCAGAUAAAUGGAUGUCUCCACUCAGAGAAACAAAAUUACAGAUAUGGAAACUUAAAAAAACAGACUGUAGCUAAAGCAUCACUUUGAAUUUUAGAACUUUAAACUGGAGGAUGGGAACCCUCUGCUUGAGUUGAGCUAAUUUUUCAUAAGGCUGAUUCAGUAUUUAUUUCAGAGUAGCAGCCGUGUUAGUCUGUAUCCGCAAAAAGAACAGGAGUACUUGUGGCACCUUAGAGACUAACAAAUUUAUUAGAGCAUAAGCUUUUGUGGACACAACUACGAAGUGGGCUGUAGUCCACAAAAGCUUAUGCUCUAAUAAAUUUGUUAGUCUCUAAGGUGCCNNNNNNNNN
rnacentral:lncRNA from 1 species